ACAGCCAAGAUCUGUUCUUCUCAUAUGCAGCCUAUUCUGCCAAAGGAACUCUCCAGGGUGAUGUCAUCGAUGUGAGUUAUGGAACUAUGGAUGAUUUAAAACGGAUUACAAAGUUGAAAAAUACUACAAAUCAAAUUGCACUCCUGAAAUUAGGAAAAUUACCACUACUGUAUAAGAUUUCCUUAUUGGAAAAGGCUGGGUUUGGAGGUGCGCUUCUCUACAUUGAUCCCUGUGAUGCAGCAGAGUCUUCAGUCCUUA
rnacentral:lncRNA from 1 species